AGUGAACGCUGGCGGUAGGCCUAACACAUGCAAGUCGAACGGCAGCACAGUAAGAGCUUGCUCUUACGGGUGGCGAGUGGCGGACGGGUGAGGAAUACAUCGGAAUCUACUUUUUCGUGGGGGAUAACGUAGGGAAACUUACGCUAAUGCCGCAUACGACCUACGGGUGAAAGCAGGGGAUCUUCGGACCUUGCGCGAUUGAAUGAGCCGAUGUCGGAUUAGCUAGUUGGCGGGGUAAAGGCCCACCAAGGCGACGAUCCGUAGCUGGUCUGAGAGGAUGAUCAGCCACACUGGAACUGAGACACGGUCCAGACUGCUACGGGAGGCAGCAGUGGGGAAUAUUGGACAAUGGGCGCAAGCCUGAUCCAGCCAUACCGCGUGGGUGAAGAAGGCCUUCGGGUUGUAAAGCCCUUUUGUUGGGAAAGAAAAGCAGCAGGUUAAUACCCCGCUGUUCUGACGGUACCCAAAGAAUAAGCACCGGCUAACUUCGUG
rnacentral:rRNA from 1 species